rnacentral:rRNA from 1 species
ACAACUUUCAGCGAUCGAUGUCUCGGCUCGAACAACGAUGAAGGGCGCAGCGAACUGUGAUAAGCAUUGUGAAUUGCAGAAUUCCGUGAACCAAUAGAAACUUGAACGUAGACUGUGCUUUCGGGAUAUCCCUGAAAGCAUGCCUGCUUCAGUGUCCAAUUCAUUUCAUGCCGGCAACAUGAUCCACAUUGGUGGUGUUGUUGUUUGGUUGUGUUUGUGUGUUAAAGAGCUUCUGGCCUUUGACACAUUGAAUUCAU